GGUCUGUUGGUCUAGUGGUAUGAUUCUCGCUUAGGGUUCACCUUAAGUCGUUUGCGAGAGGUAAGCAUCGUCAUCAAAUCACUAUUCAGUACAAAAAACUAACGACCUCAUCAGGCCCCGCGUUCGAGUCGCGGACAGACCC